GUGCUCACUUUGGCAGCACCAGUACUAAAAUUGGAACGAUUCAGAGAUUAGCAUGGCCCCUGUGCAAGGAUGACAGGCACAUUUGUGAGAUGUGCCAUAUUUUU